UGGGGGAUUUUGCACAAUGGGCGCAAGCCUGAUGCAGCGACGCCGCGUGAGGGAUGAAGGCCUUCGGGUUGUAAACCUCUUUCGCUGGGUUGAAAGGCCAUGCUUUGGGUGUGGUUGAUUUGAACUGGUAAAGAAGUACCGGCUAACUACGUGCCAGCAGCCGCGGUAAUACGUAGGGUACUAGCGUUGUCCGGAUUUAUUGGGCGUAAAGGGCUUGUAGGUGGUUUGUCGCGUCUGUCGUGAAAUCCUGUGGCUUAACCAUGGGCUUGCGGUGGGUACGGGCAGGCUUGAGUGCGGUAGGGGAGACUGGAAUUCCUGGUGUAGCGGUGGAAUGCGCAGAUAUCAGGGGGAACACCGGUGGCGAAGGCGGGUCUCUGGGCCGUUACUGACACUGAGGAGCGAAAGCGUGGGGAGCGAACAGG
rnacentral:rRNA from 1 species